rnacentral:misc_RNA from 1 species
AACGCAACUUGCGCCCAGCAAUGGGCAUGUCUGUUCGAGUACCGCCAACCAAAUGCAGCAAUGCGAUGUGGCCUGGGACGAAUGAGCCUCGGCUAAAAUGGAGCAAGCGAGCGGAAUGUGUAUUGCUCGAGUGUGCCAAAGACAACAAGUCUUGUAACUCGCUCGAUCAACCACACAUCCCCAUCUACUCUACAACUUGGUCUCGAAUCAGGCAAGAUCACCCGCUGAACUUAA